UUUUUUGUUUGCACGUGAACUGGCAGAGUUUUCGUCCGUGCAACUAAUAUGCUAAACAUACUGUUAAGGUGGGCCUGGCACAAUCUUGAUGGUUAGAUGUAAUUAGAAGAUCUGAUCGUAAGGUUAUAAUUCCUGUGCGGGAAAUUGUGUAGCUUUGGUUGGGGUGACGUAGCGAUGAAUACGUUGGACUGUUUAUUAGUAAUAUAGAUAAACCAUCCCAAGAGCCAGACGCUCUGCAACCGUAGAACCGAGCAACUCCUACCACAUGCCCCCACACAACACCUCCCAUGGCAGCAUUGCUCGCUGGAGCUUCAACGACCCAGCGAUGCCUCACGGCAGCUCCGGCAACGCUUCAUUGCAACCCUCGUCGGAGUUUCAACGGCCCCGGCGAUGCUCCACUGUAGCUCCGGCGAUGUUUCACUGCAACCCUUGUUGAAGCUUCAUUGAUCCCGACGAUGCUUGAACGCAGCUCCGGUGACACCUCACGGCAACUUCGGCGACGCUUCACUGCAACCCUCGCCGAAGCUUCAACGACCCUGACGGCGCGCACUACGAAUCCAGGGACACCGCACUGCAACGCCUGAACUCCGGCGACGCUUCACUACAGCUUCGCGGGCGCUUCAUUGCGACCUUGACAGCACCCCGACGGUCGUCGACGAAACUUCGUUGUAGCGCCAUCAUUGUGCAGCGAUGCUCCAUAGCAGCAUCUGCCCCGUCGAAGCUCCACCUGACCACCCGAUGGCCGCCGACAAAGCUUCACUACAGCCCAACACAGUCGCGAGGAGGUGUUGCGACGAAACAUGCGGCGACGAUCCGUGGAUCCUACGACGCAACACGACGACGACGAAUAUGCUGCGCGCGGUGGCGACAGGUGGAUCUUGCAGCAGCAAGACAAGCCCCCGAGCUUGUAUGCCAAUGGCUAGGAUUAAUGGUCCGCGAUUUGUCUUCCAACAACCAUGAGGUCGGGCCUUGCAGCGUCGUCCCAUAGCGGCGGUAGCCCGUCGGUGAUGAUGGAUGGAAAAUGAGAAAGGGGAAUCCAAGGAAGAGGAUAACGCAGAGCGAAAGGAUAAGGAAGAAGAACCCGGAUGGUGCGGUGGGUGGGUCCCAUGUUAGAUGUGUGUCACGCGAGGUAUACGCGAACGAGCGCCGCACGAUUCCAGGUGGAUCGGAUGCCUUGCAGGGCGGUUGAUGCCAUCUAAAAAUCAGCCGGCUUAAAAUAAACCUUUUUCUAUAAAAAAGGCUUGGAAUUUGAAAAUUGCGUUCGAGUUAUUCCGACCAUGUUUCCUUAAAAAAAAUAGAUUUGAAAUCUC
rnacentral:lncRNA from 1 species